GAUGAACGCUGGCGGCGUGCCUAAUACAUGCAAGUCGAGCGAACGGACGAGAAGCUUGCUUCUCUGAUGUUAGCGGCGGACGGGUGAGUAACACGUGGAUAACCUACCUAUAAGACUGGGAUAACUUCGGGAAACCGGAGCUAAUACCGGAUAAUAUUUUGAACCGCAUGGUUCAAAAGUGAAAGACGGUCUUGCUGUCACUUAUAGAUGGAUCCGCGCUGCAUUAGCUAGUUGGUAAGGUAACGGCUUACCAAGGCAACGAUGCAUAGCCGACCUGAGAGGGUGAUCGGCCACACUGGAACUGAGACACGGUCCAGACUCCUACGGGAGGCAGCAGUAGGAAAUCUUCCGCAAUGGGCGAAAGCCUGACGGAGCAACGCCGCGUGAGUGAUGAAGGUCUUCGGAUUGUAAAACUCUGUUAUUAGGGAAGAACAUAUGUGUAAGUAACUGUGCACAUCUUGACGGUACCUAAUCAGAAAGCCACGGCUAACUACGUGCCAGCAGCCGCGGUAAUACGUAGGUGGCAAGCGUUAUCCGGAAUUAUUGGGCGUAAAGCGCGCGUAGGCGGUUUUUUAAGUCUGAUGUGAAAGCCCACGGCUCAACCGUGGAGGGUCAUUGGAAACCGGAAAACUUGAGUGCAGAAGAGGAAAGUGGAAUUCCAUGUGUAGCGGUGAAAUGCGCAGAGAUAUGGAGGAACACCAGUGGCGAAGGCGACUUUCUGGUCUGUAACUGACGCUGAUGUGCGAAAGCGUGGGGAUCAAACAGGAUUAGAUACCCUGGUAGUCCACGCCGUAAACGAUGAGUGCUAAGUGUUAGGGGGUUUCCGCCCCUUAGUGCUGCAGCUAACGCAUUAAGCACUCCGCCUGGGGAGUACGACCGCAAGGUUGAAACUCAAAGGAAUUGACGGGGACCCGCACAAGCGGUGGAGCAUGUGGUUUAAUUCGAAGCAACGCGAAGAACCUUACCAAAUCUUGACAUCCUUUGACAACUCUGGAGAUAGAGCUUUCCCCUUCGGGGGACAAAGUGACAGGUGGUGCAUGGUUGUCGUCAGCUCGUGUCGUGAGAUGUUGGGUUAAGUCCCGCGACGAGCGCAACCCUUAAGCUUAGUUGCCAUCAUUAAGUUGGGCACUCUAAGUUGACUGCCGGUGACAAACCGGAGGAAGGUGGGGAUGACGUCAAAUCAUCAUGCCCCUUAUGAUUUGGGCUACACACGUGCUACAAUGGACAAUACAAAGGGCAGCGAAACCGCGAGGUCAAGCAAAUCCCAUAAAGUUGUUCUCAGUUCGGAUUGUAGUCUGCAACUCGACUACAUGAAGCUGGAAUCGCUAGUAAUCGUAGAUCAGCAUGCUACGGUGAAUACGUUCCCGGGUCU
rnacentral:rRNA from 1 species